rnacentral:rRNA from 1 species
GACGAACGCUGGCGGCGUGCCUAAUACAUGCAAGUCGAGCGAAUCAAUAGGAGCUUGCUCCUGUUGGUUAGCGGCGGACGGGUGAGUAACACGUGGGCAACCUGCCUGUAAGACUGGGAUAACACCGGGAAACCGGUGCUAAUACCGGAUAAUCCUUUUUCUCUCAUGAGGGAAAGCUGAAAGUCGGUUUCGGCUGACACUUACAGAUGGGCCCGCGGCGCAUUAGCUAGUUGGUGAGGUAACGGCUCACCAAGGCGACGAUGCGUAGCCGACCUGAGAGGGUGAUCGGCCACACUGGGACUGAGACACGGCCCAGACUCCUACGGGAGGCAGCAGUAGGGAAUCUUCCACAAUGGACGAAAGUCUGAUGGAGCAACGCCGCGUGAGCGAUGAAGGCCUUCGGGUCGUAAAGCUCUGUUGUUAGGGAAGAACAAGUACCGGAGUAACUGCCGGUACCUUGACGGUACCUAACCAGAAAGCCACGGCUAACUACGUGCCAGCCGCCGCUGUAAGAC